rnacentral:sRNA from 1 species
UUUUGCCCCCGAUUGAAGCGGAAAGCAUUUUGCAGGAUUGGCGGACAUUUUUCUUGCCAAAAAAUUGCGACCUUAGGAGCACAUUUUUGGGCUUAUAAAAUGCCGACAAGACAAAAAAUCUUGUAGUGAAAAGCGGGAUUAGGC